AUUGAACGCUGGCGGCAGGCUUAACACAUGCAAGUCGAACGAGCGGCGGACGGGUGAGUAAUGUAUGGGGAUCUGCCCGAUAGAGGGGGAUAACUACUGGAAACGGUGGCUAAUACCGCAUACUAACGGAGGCGUCCAUAAGGGAUUAGCUAGUAGGUAGGGUAAAGGCUCACCUAGGCGACGAUGUCUAGCUGGGCUGAGAGGAUGAUCAGCCACACUGGGACUGAGACACGGCCCAGACUCCUACGGGAGGCAGCAGUGGGGAAUAUUGCACAAUGGGCGAAAGCCUGAUGGAGCCAUGCCGCGUGUGUGAAGAAGGCCUUAGGAUUGUAAAGUACUUUCGGCGGGGAGGCGUUACCCAAAGAGAAAGCAACGGCUAACUACGUGCCAGCAGCCGCGGUAAUAC
rnacentral:rRNA from 1 species